AAAGUGGCGGACGAGCGAGUAACACGUAAGUAGUUGCCCUGUACUCGGGGAUAACUGGUCGAAAGAUCAGCUAAUACCGGAUGGUCUCGAAAGAGUAAAGAUUUAUCGGUACAGGAGACGCUUGCGGCCUAUCAGCUAGUUGGUAAGGUAAAGGCUUACCAAGGCUAUGACGGGUAUCUGGUGUGAGAGCACGACCAGACGCGAUGGGACUGAGACACGGCCCAUACUCC
rnacentral:rRNA from 1 species